GUUCCUGUUACGCGAUGGAUUGCGCGUUGGACUUCUAAUCCAAAUACCGUGAGUUCGAAUCUCACUUGGAAGUCCU